GAUUUGCUGACUUCUGACUUCUCAGUUCUCUCAAUCAUUCUCUGUAAACAAAGCUCAAGGGUUUAGGGCUUAUCAGAAACGGAGCAGGAACGCCAAGUAUGAAUCAUUGAAACAAACCCAGCUGCUCCAUUCACUUCACUUCAUUCCUCUUCCUUCAAUUUCAUUUUUCUUUUUUUCAUUCUCAAAAGGACUUUGUUUUCAAUCCGAUACGAUCGCCGAAAAAUGUUGCCAAGAUGUAGCGGAGCACUCAGCUCACUAAAAUACAUAACACAUAGAAACCAUUUUCAUGGUUCUGCCGCAGCUGUGGCUCCAGCUCCUACUCCCACCAAACAACCGUAUUUAACUUGGAGAAAACCUUUAGAAUGACAUUCGCAUUACUUGUACUUCAUAUGUGGUUUGUUCUGCGUUGCAAAAUAAGAGGGUAAGGAAGGCAUUGAGCUUGGUCAAUAUCUGUAUGAGAUCUACAAUCAUGACGUGGAGCUGAGGGUAUCCAAAGCUGGGGAGUUGGAGAAAAUAUUCUAUGGAAAUAUUGUUGCUUAUGAUGCUGCCAUGCUUCCAGAGGCUAAACAGGAUGAGCUACAAAAUGUAAUAUGGAGGUAAACCAUUUUAUAAAAGUCAGUCUUGGCAUUGCAUUUGACAUGAAGGGGACUGUCAGUGCUCAUAUCUUACUAUUUCAUUGUCAUGGGAGAAAUAUUUUUGGGUAGAUUUUUUGUGAUUACUAACUCUCUAAUUUAUUGUAGUCUGGUGUUUAUAAUUUAGGCAGUGACUUGGGUAAUAGCCAGGGGUCCUUGGGUGAGGUAGGCACUUAUGCCUGGGCAAAGUUUUUUUUUUGGAUAUUUACCUUUUUAACAACGAUAUGCACUGGAGUUUUUUGUGCUGAAGGAAUAUGUUUUCUGAUGAUGGUACUUCAAAGCCAGAUGAUGCUGCAUUACGGGCAGUUCAGGCAUGUAUUCAACUUUGCUUUUGUCACUGUGUUUGUCAUCCUUGCUGGAUGCAAGGUCUCCAUUCAUUUUACUGAUGUGAUAGAUAUAACAGAUAAAAUAAAGAAUCUCCUGGCUAGGAUCUAAAUAAAUGUUAUUUUUGGAAUACGAUACAUCAAUCCUCCAUUACAAAGAGAUAGAUGUUUCUUUCCAGCAAUGAAGGAAAGUUCGUCAUGGUCACUGCUAUAUGAUCAGGUGCAGUGAACUAUCAGUUCACUCAUAGAGCUGUUGUUUCUUUCCGUAUUAAACAGCAUACUUUGUCAAUCAUUGUGGUACACAUCCCCCAAUACAAAAGGGGUUACUGAAAAUGCCAUCUUUCUAGCUUUCUGUGUGUGGAUCAACUUCUAUCUGCAAAUUAUUCCACCUUCUCUGUGAUAAUUCUAAGAUUUUACAAGGUUCAGACAGCUAAUGCUAUGGCAGAAUAUCCUUCUAUCAGACAAAUCUCUUCGGCUAAAUGGCAUAUAAUUGCAAUUGAAGUUCCUCAAGAACUGGUGUUUCUAGAUAUGUCAAACAAGCAAGAUAUUUGCAGAGACAUCAACCCCUCCAAUAUACAGCUUGAUGGGGGUGUUAUGGAGACAAGUUUCCUACCUCAUACUCCCAGCAACUCCAGACCCGAGAACGCCAUGGAUGCUGGUGGCUUCACAGAUUUGGAAACCUCUCCUGUCUUACCCGUUUGCGUGAAGAAAGAUUCGGAAACAAAAAAGAGUCCACAGAGGAAGGGCCUUUGAGAGCUAAAGAUUUAUUUAAGAAAGCAUUUUCGUGGUGGCACCAGAACACUUGCCACAUGCAAAAUAAAAAAGAGUCCAAAAGCAAUGUUUACCAUCACUUAUUGCUCAUCUCCUCAUUGUUGGCAUCUAUAACGCUCCACACAGCCUUAAAGAUCCAAGGAUACAGAGUGGAAGAAAGCUAUGAAUACAAUUCUAGCAUAAAUGAUGCUGUCUGCCAGACUGAAAAUCAAUAUUAUUUCUGUUCAAACUGGUUGAUCAUUAUGUUUAAUUCCAUCGCCUUUUUCUUAUCGGUAGCAUUGCUGAUGAGACUCUUCAAUGAGCUUCCACUCAGGCCAUUGUUACAAGUUUCAGUAUUUUCAAUGGUUGGAGCUUACCUGUGCACAGUAUUGGACCCUUUCAAGCCUCGCUCGUGCUCAUCCUAGCCCCUAUUGAUAUUGUUGGAAUAGCACCCAGCGAAGCUCCUCUUUUGUUGUAGAAAUAGAAGUGUUCCAAUGCCUACAGGCAUGUAGAAAAUAUUAUCAAAUAUAUGUAAAAGUAUGAAGUACUCAUAGGCCUUAAUGCUUGAUAAUUAGUACUUAAAACUGAUUUACAGGAUAUUUUACUGCUGUUCAAUAUUACU